rnacentral:rRNA from 1 species
UACGUAGGGCGCAAGCGUUGUCCGGAAUUAUUGGGCGUAAAGAGCUCGUAGGCGGCCUGUUACGUCUGCUGUGAAAUCCCGGGGCUUAACCCCGGGCGUGCAGUGGAUACGGGCAGGCUGGAGGCAGGCAGGGGAGAACGGAAUUCCCGGUGUAGCGGUGAAAUGCGCAGAUAUCGGGAGGAACACCGGUGGCGAAGGCGGCGAUCUGGGUAGAUACUGACGCUGAGGUGCGAAAGCGUGGGGAGCAAACAGG